UACGGGGGGAGCAAGCGUUGUUCGGAUUUACUGGGCGUAAAGGGCGCGUAGGCGGUCAGCACAAGUCAGUUGUGAAAUCUCCGGGCUUAACUCGGAACGGUCAAGUGAUACUGUCGGGCUAGAGUGCAGAAGGGGCAACUGGAAUUCUCGGUGUAGCGGUGAAAUGCGUAGAGAUCAUGAGGAAGACCAGUGGCGAAGGCGGGUCUCUGGACAGUUCCUGACACUGAGGCACGAAGGCCAGGGGAGCAAACGGG
rnacentral:rRNA from 1 species